rnacentral:rRNA from 1 species
AACGAACGCUGGCGGCGUGCCUAAUACAUGCAAGUCGAACGAGAAAGCGUAGCAAUACGUUAGUAAAGUGGCAGACGGGUGAGUAAUACAUAGGUAAUCUACCUUCGAGAUGGGGAUAACCUUCGAAGGAGGCUAAUACCGAAUGAGACCACAGAGAUUAAUUUCUCAGGGGUUAAUGGUGACCUCUAUUUAUAAGUUAUCGCUUGAAGAUGAGCUUAUGCACCANCAGCUAGUUGGUAGGGUAAUGGCCUACCAAGGCUUUGACGGUUAGCUGGAUCUGAGAGGUUGAUCAGCCACACUGGGAACUGAGACACGGUCCAGACUCCGUACGGGAGGCAGCAGUAGGGAAUAUUGCGCAA